GUGGGGAAUAUUGGGCAAUGGGCGAAAGCCUGACCCAGCAACGCCGCGUGAGUGAUGAAGGCCUUCGGGUCGUAAAGCUCUGUCAUCGGGGACGAACGGCCUCAGCAGGUAAUGGCUGGGGAUUGACGGUACCCGAGAAGGAAGCCACGGCUAACUACGUGCCAGCAGCCGCGGUAAUACGUAGGUGGCAAGAGUUGUCCGGAAUUAUUGGGCGUAAAGCGCGCGCAGGUGGGAUCUUAAGUCCAUUUUGAAAGUUCGGAGCUCAACUCCGUGAUGGGAUGGAAACUGGGAUUCUUGAGUACCGGAGAGGAAAGCGGAAUUCCCCGUGUAGCGGUGAAAUGCGUAGAUAUGGGGAGGAACACCAGUGGCGAAGGCGGCUUUCUGGACGGUGUCUGACACUGAGGCGCGAAAGCCAGGGGAGCGAACGGGAUUAGAAACCCCGGUAGUCC
rnacentral:rRNA from 1 species